rnacentral:lncRNA from 1 species
GGGGGUACCGGUACAGAGUCAAUGUGGAGGCUAUAUACAGGGGGGUACCAGUACAGAGUCAAUGUGGAGGCUAUAUACAGGGGGUACCAGUACAGAGUCAAUGUGGAGGCUAUAUACAGGGGGUACCGGUACAGAGUCAAUGUGGAGGCUAUAUACAGGGGGUACCGGUACAGAGUCAAUGUGGAGGCUAUAUACAGGGGUUACCGGUACAGAGUCAAUGUGGAGGCUAUAUACAGGGUAUUACGGUACAGAGUCAAUGUGGAGGCUAUAUACAGGGGGGUACCGGUACAGAGUCAAUGUGGAGGCUAUAUACAGGGUAUUACGGUACUGAGUCAAUGUGGAGGCUAUAUACAGG